GGAAUAUUGCACAAUGGGGGAAACCCUGAUGCAGCCAUGCCGCGUGUGUGAAGAAGGCCUUCGGGUUGUAAAGCACUUUCAGUAGGGAGGAAAGGGUGUAACUUAAUACGUUAUAUCUGUGACGUUACCUACAGAAGAAGGACCGGCUAACUCCGUGCCAGCAGCCGCGGUAAUACGGAGGGUCCGAGCGUUAAUCGGAAUUACUGGGCGUAAAGCGUGCGCAGGCGGUUUGUUAAGCGAGAUGUGAAAGCCCUGGGCUCAACCUAGGAAUAGCAUUUCGAACUGGCGAACUAGAGUCUUGUAGAGGGGGGUAGAAUUCCAGGUGUAGCGGUGAAAUGCGUAGAGAUCUGGAGGAAUACCGGUGGCGAAGGCGGCCCCCUGGACAAAGACUGACGCUCAUGCACGAAAGCGUGGGGAGCAAACAGGAUUAGAUACCCGGG
rnacentral:rRNA from 1 species